AACUUUAUCUCUCUAAUAACUUUGGCAUGUGUAUUGUUUUUACUCGCCGAGCAGUAUUUUUGUAGAAUAUCCAGUUGGAAAUGAGUAGAUUCCCUAUUAUACCUAACUACUACGUACCUACCUAACUACAAGCUAGAGAAAAAUGAACUAUUUACAACGCCUCUAUUCUAUUAAUUUCCAAUCAUCCUAUCAUGUCGUAACCCGAUUUCAUAACAAGAUGACCGGCGAUGCAUUGAUGCAAGAUAAUACGCGUUCAAAAGUCAAUUAAGUAGACGACAACACUGUCAUACAUACACCUAGGUAUCUAGCUACCUACGUAACAGGAAACUGGGUUGUGGAGUAAAGCAGCGUCCUGUUUAAGUGACCUACCUACCUAUAUUUAGGUUUCCAUGAGGGGAGCAAUGUCCGGCUGAAGUAGCGUUUGGGUGCACUGUUAAGUAUUCAUUUUUGUCCAUAUAUGGAAAACGAACAGUCAUACAACUAGAUUUAAAACAUAUACGUGACAAAGCCUUAAUUUGAGGUUUAUACGAUUAGUAAUAGAAAGUAGAAAAGCAAGUACCUAUAAGGUAGGUACUGGUAGGUGCUGAUAUAGGUACCUAAUUAUCGUCACGCGACUAUUGCACAGGAAACUUGGGAGUAACUGAUAUCUUACGACUUUAACUAAAUUAUUUAGUAAAAUAUACAACCAGGUAUAAAGCAGUAGAGGAUGAGAGUAUUGAGGAGCAAAUAGACAGAUGCUAUUUUAACCUGCAUGUAUCUAGUCUAGGCACACACCUCUUUUAUUUAUAGUUUCUACUUAUUACGUUAUUAUAAAUAUUGAUGGGGAUUAUUAUUUUCGCUUCAUGUGGGUAGUUGGUUCCGUGUUUUGACUUAUGAAAAUAAAUUCCUUAGUAUGAUUUAUUAUUUAAGUAGGUAUGUUGACUAAUGCUUAAUGACACUUUAUGUAUAUCUACUUACUUAAUAGAUGGUACUUAGAAUAACGGGCCCUAGGAUCAAUAAAUCUUUUAACAGGUAGGUACUAUUUUGUAACGUGGCAUGUUCUACUUUAAUUUUGCCUCUUCCCGUUUUGAAAUGCUUGCCAAUAUUUGUAGAAGUUUGCAUGUACCUAAUGCACUUAAGCACAGCAAGCAACCCGUGCCGUGAAUGUGGUAGAACAUGCAGUCGAAAACAAUCACGACGUGGAGCGCACUUUUGUUUUUAUUAAAUACGGGCAGCGUAAACUUAACAUCAUAGAACAUCGGAUCACCAGCUUCUACCACAAGGAAAAUCGGGGCAAUAGAUUUCAUAACAGAUGGAAAACGCAGUUAAUAUGAGAGAAAGGGGUAUUUUAUCUACAUAGCGUUAAAGGGGUGAAUAGAAUUCGUGGGGUCAAUAAAAAUUGUGUUCCUCCUAAACUUAUAUUGUUGUGCCCGACAGGGUCCACAUUGUGUCCUAGUUAAGUAUACCACCUAAGCCUUACACGUGGAAAGCAAUAAAGUAUUGAGAUACAGAAGAGGGGUGAGUAGAUAUUGGGGAAUUCUUUAUAGUAUCUAAUUCAACCCAUUCAUGUACCUAUUCGUCUCUCGAAUUCUAUUCACCCUGUAUUACUCGGUAUGCUGCUGCAGCCAGAUAUAACUUCCCAAGAAGAACUUUACCCAACCAUCUAAAGAGUGGUUCGAUUACACGAAAGCUAGGUCGGUCGCUAUAUUGGCUACAGAACAAAAAGCUGGAGAAGAAUCCCGUCAGAAGAAUCCUUCGUUUGGUUGACGUUGGAAUGCCGAUGACUUCAAAGAUAAUGCUUUUACAUAUAGUAGUGGUCGCCUAGUGGUCGAAAUUCAACCAUAUACGAUUUAAUUUACAAUACCACUUAACAUACGUUCAAGGAUAAUUUUUAUUUAACUCAAACUCAAACAAACUCUUUUAUAAAACUCUAUUCAUAUAAGACGUGAGAAUAUCAUCGCAAUGUCUAUCGAUUUUGACGUUUUGUCAAAUACGAUCAGAUACUAUGCAUGUGUGUGUAAUGUUUUAUUUAUUGAUUUAAUGUACUUUAUAAGCUUUAUUUUUGAAAAAUAUUAGCGUUCUGCACUUCUCCUACACAUAAACUAUAAAUGUGCCAAAUUUUAUGCUCCUACGUCCGCGCAAUUUUCGUAAAAAGCGGUCCAAAGUUUUUGCAUCACGUAUUAAUAUAUAGCUAUAGAGAUAUUCGUUAUUAAGUCUUAUAUGUCUAAUAAUAUUCGUUAAGUAUAAUGAUAAUGACCAAAAGUAACUAAUAAGAUCUCAUUAGAUUUUGAUAUAGGUAGUGAUAGAGUUUCGUGUUAAUUAAGAAUUUGAAUACUUACUUAAUACUAGUUUAACUGAGGCGUUCAUAUUAUAAGGUUUAAUAAAUAAAUAUAAGUUUUUGUAAUUUUA